rnacentral:rRNA from 1 species
CCCUUAGAUGUCCUGGGCCGCACGCGCGUUACACUGAUGCAUUCAACGAGCUUAUAACCUUGGCCGAGAGGCCCGGGCAAUCUUGUUAACGUGCAUCGUGAUAGGGAUAGAUUAUUGAAAUUAUUAAUCUUGAACGAGGAAUUCCUAGUAAACGCAGAUCAUCAAUCUGCAUUGAUUACGUCCCUGCCCUUUGUACACACCGCCCGUCGCACCUACCGAUUGGAUGGUCCGGUGAAGCCUCGGGAUUGUGGUUCUUGCCGCUUUAUUGUGGCGUGACCGCGAGAACUUGUCUAAACCUUAUCAUUUAGAGGAAGGUGAAGUCGUAACA